AUUGAACGCUGGCGGCAUGCUUUACACAUGCAAGUCGAACGGUAACAGGGUGCUUGCACCGCUGACGAGUGGCGAACGGGUGAGUAAUACAUCGGAAUGUACCCAGUAAUGGGGGAUAACGCUUCGAAAGGAGUGCUAAUACCGCAUACGCCCUGAGGGGGAAAGUGGGGGACCGCAAGGCCUCACGUUAUUGGAGCAGCCGAUGGCUGAUUAGCUAGUUGGUGAGGUAAAGGCUCACCUAGGCGACGAUCAGUAGCGGGUCUGAGAGGAUGAUCCGCCACACUGGGACUGAGACACGGCCCAGACUCCUACGGGAGGCAGCAGUGGGGAAUUUUGGACAAUGGGCGAAAGCCUGAUCCAGCCAUGCCGCGUGUCUGAAGAAGGCCUUCGGGUUGUAAAGGACUUUUGUCGGGGAGGAAAUCCCCAGCGCUAAUACCGCUGGGGGAUGACAGUACCUGAAGAAUAAGCACCGGCUAACUCUGUGCCAGCCGCCGCCGUAAGAC
rnacentral:rRNA from 1 species